AUUGAACGCUGGCGGCAGGCCUAACACAUGCAAGUCGAGCGAGCGGCGGACGGGUGAGUAAUGUAUGGAGACUGCCCGAUAGAGGGGGAUAACUACUGGAAACGGUGGCUAAUACCGCAUACUAUCGGUAAACCCAUAUGGGAUUAGCUCGUAGGUGGGGUAAAGGCUCAACUAGGCGACGAUCUCUAGCUGGUCUGAGAGGAUGAUUAGCCACACUGGGACUGAGACAUGGCCCAGACUCCUACGGAGGCAGCAGUGGGGAAUAUUGGACAAUGGGCGCAAGCCUGAUGCAGCCAUGCCGCGUGUAUGAAGAAGGCCUUAGGGUUGUAAAGUACUUUCAGCGGGGAGGCGUUACCCGCAGAAGAAGCACCGGCUAACUCCGUGCCAGCAGCCGCGGUAAUAC
rnacentral:rRNA from 1 species